AUUGUUUCUUAUCCUUUUGGGUAAGAUCGAGUAUAGUAUCUGUUCUUACCAGUUUAAUAUCUGAUAUGUCCUCUAUCCCAGGGCAUUAUAUUAAAUGAGUUUUUGGAACUGGGAGAUGGAAUAGGAGCUUGCUCCAUUACUCUGCGCAUCGACCCGGUAUUGCAGUACUUCCUAGAACGGUGCACCAAAA